rnacentral:miRNA from 1 species
UAAAGUGAGCGCUCAAUGAGU